CCUACGGGAGGCAGCAGUCGAGAAUCAUUCACAAUGGGGGAAACCCUGAUGGUGCGACGCCGCGUGGGGGAAUGAAGGUCUUCGGAUUGUAAACCCCUGUCAUGUGGGAGCAAAUUAAAAAGAUAGUACCACACGAGGAAGAGACGGCUAACUCUGUGCCAGCAGCCGCGGUAAUACAGAGGUCUCAAGCGUUGUUCGGAAUCACUGGCGUAAAGGCGGUGUAGGCUGUUUCGUAAGUCGUGUGUGAAAGGCGCGGGCUCAACCCGCGGACGGCACAUGAUACUGCGAGACUAGAGUAAUGGAGGGGGAACCGGAAUUCUCGGUGUAGCAGUGAAAUGCGUAGAUAUCGAGAGGAACACUCGUGGCGAAGGCGGGUUCCUGGACAUUAACUGACGCUGAGGCACGAAGGCCAGGGGAGCGAAAGGGAUUAGAUACCCCAGUAGUC
rnacentral:rRNA from 1 species